rnacentral:rRNA from 1 species
CGGGGUGAGUAAUGUAUGGGGAUCUGCCUGAUGGCGGGGGGUAACUACUGGAAACGGUAGCUAAUACCGCAUAAUGUCUACGGACCAAAGCGGGGGACCUCCGGGCCUCGCGCCAUCAGAUGAACCCAUAUGGGAUUAGCUUGUAGGUAAGGUAACGGCUUACCUAGGCGACGAUCCCUAGCUGGUCUGAGAGGAUGAUCAGCCACACUGGGACUGAGACAUGGCCCAG